UAAUACGUAGGGUGCAAGCGUUGUUCGGAAUUACUGGGCGUAAAGGGCGCGUAGGCGGGCUCGUAUGUCGAUUGUGAAAGCCCUGGGCUUAACCCGGGAAUGGCAGUCGAAACUGCGAGUCUUGAAUGCUUGAGAGGAUGGCGGAAUUCCCGGUGUAGAAGUGAAAUUCGUAGAUAUCGGGAAGAACACCUGAGGCGAAGGCGGCUAUCUGGCGAUGCAUUGACGCUGAGGCGCGAAAGCGUGGGGAGCAAACAGGAUUAGAUACCCUGGUAGUCCACGCCGUAAACUAUGGAUACUAGGUGUCCGGGAUGUUAACCUCCUGGGUACCGUAGCUCACGCAUUAAGUAUCCCGCCUGGGGAGUACGGUCGCAAGACUA
rnacentral:rRNA from 1 species